rnacentral:SRP_RNA from 1 species
AAUCCUGUACGGAUGGGAGCUUAUAUAGCUGCCCUUUGUAAGUGGCGUUGAAGUUUGGGUCUUACGCAAUAGGAAUCUACGAAUCUGGUCAGGGCAGGAAUGCAGCAGCCAUAAGAAGAAUCUCCUAUGUGCCGUAAGGGUGCCUGGCGGAGUUAACUGCAAAGGUAACGUAUAUAAGUUCCCCUGCGUGCAGG